rnacentral:ncRNA from 1 species
GCUUAUCAAGAGUGGUGGAGGGACAGGCCCUGUGAAGCCCGACAACCUGCAGUUCCUGCAAGGUGCCAAAUCCUGCGGUGAAGCCGAAAGAUGAGA